rnacentral:lncRNA from 1 species
GAAGCCAAAUAAAGCGCAUGCUGUGUACAGAGGGUGUCGAGAAUGUGUCCUACGUGACGGAAAGCAGAUCCGUGGUUCCCUGCAGACUGGCAGGAGCAGAUUCCAAAGGCACAGGAAGAAGCUUGCAGGUUUCCUUAACGACAACAAAAAAGGGAGUAAUCCUACCUACUGUAAGAGUCAUGACUCUUGAUUGCAGCUGACAGAAACUCAUGACAGCCUGGUUUAGAUAAAGGGGGAGAGAAGGACUGGAAGAAUCUUGGAGUUGGGAAUGUCGCACGUAAUUGAAGGAAGAACAAGAAAACUAUAGCAGCUAUUCCCAACCCCAGAACCUUUGCUGUCUUGGAACAGAUCACCACUGCAAGAGGGGAAGUUGCUACUGUGAUGAAUUCUGCCAUGUGGUACCAGACUGCUACCCAGACCACAGUGUCCUCUGCAACCCUCGUAACUCACAUACAGGCCUGAUUCCACCUACAGCAAAGCUGGAUGCUAUGGUUGGCAGAGGCAAACCCUUUGCCUGCACUUCAGGCCAAAGCCGGGAUGUGGCCUAGAUGGUUCCUAAGGUCCCUGACAAUCCUGAGAUCUUGCAUCUUGUCUAUUUCAGGUCAAAGCUUCUCAGAUGACCAAGAUGGUGCUGCAGAUGGUGCUGAGGAUGGAGAACCCACCAAGCCC